rnacentral:lncRNA from 10 species
GUGAGGAGCCUCUCUGCCUGGCAGCCACCCCGUCUGGGAAGUCUUCAGGAGGCUCCAAGACCAGCAGGCAUAUAAGCAAAACGGAACAUAGACACUGGAAGCAACUUUCCUGUGUUAGUAAGCCAGCAGCAUCCUCACACCAUGCGACUUUACAACAACUGCUGCCCUAUCCUCAGAGCCUCUGCCCGGCAUGGACUGGGGCACUCAGAAUGGUAUCCCUUGAUAUAAUGCAUAUACGAUGGCACUGUCUACCACCUCCUCAUGCCUAAACAUUUCUCAGUUUUCAGAUUUAGAGUCUCAAAACUGUUUCCACAGUAUUGAACUCCCAGUUUUCUAAACCCCAACACGUUUCUUUCUUGAUCACGGAUCGUCUUUUCGGAUGACAGCAUCCUGGCUUGAAUCCAGAGCAAAAAACCAUUGAAGUCAAAUUAAAACAUAAUUUUAUGAUGACAAAUUUAUUAAAGUUAAUAAUUCAACUCACU